CCCCUUACCCCCACCCUGACCCUCUCUGGCCCCAUCCCUUCUAAUCUCUUCUUUCAUGCCCUGCUACCACCCUAGGAUCGAGCCAGGACCAGAGAUAUCCGCACAUAGGCAGACCCCAGAGAGGUUGAGAGAGGCAGACACCCCGCUGGCUGGACCACAACUCUAAAACCCAGAAACUUGGGUCUGGGAAACUCAGCCAAGAAAUCCAGGAGCAAAUAGAAAGCAGAAGCAGCAGAGACAGAAAGGGAUAGGGCAUCAAUGGAGCACACCAUGUAGGGAUGGGUGUCUCUGAUGCCCACCGGGUGUGCAAAGCUCCAGGUCAGCUGCUGGGGAGAAGGCCCGGGAGAGGGAAGAGAAGCUGAAAGAAACCACAGGAUCUGAAGGCCCUGCUUCAGCUUGGCAGGAAGGUGGCCAGGCUUUCAGAGGCAGCGCUAAAGUCUGCAGCUUCAUCUCCAGGUUGGAAUGUUGCUUCUGGCACCCGAGAGAUUUCCUGUUUCCAGCCCCGGCAUCCCUCUUGGGUGUCUGGGAGCUAGCUGGAUAGGCCACCUUGGGCUGUGGUCAGCCUCUCUUGGGAUAGCAGAAGCAGAGGAGGAGAUGCUGGGCCCAGCUCCCCCUACAGAGCACCAGGAGUGGGACAGACCAUGCUCUGAACUUCAUGGGCUCAGACAGGGAGCAGCUCAGUGGAACUGAAGACCCUGGGAAGAGGUUUGGCUGCUGGAUUCUCAGAUUCUUGGGUCAGGUG